rnacentral:lncRNA from 7 species
AUGGGUCGAUGGCUGUCCAAGUCCAACAGGCUGAAGAUCUGGCUGCUUCUGCUGAUUGGUGCGCUCUCACAAUCGACGUGCCUUUUCUGGUUGGAAGUUAAGAUUCUGAAUUCAAACUUGGAAACUGAUAUGGGUAAUGGCUCCACCGGUCCACCCACGCCCAACAAGGGCAUCUAAAAAAACAAAGCAUGAAAUCAGUUAAGCUGUGUUUAAGCAAUUAAAACUUGUCUUGUUUUCG